AUGUAUUUAAACACGAUAGUAAAUUUACAGCAUAGCUGAUGUGAUCGUGCACGUGAAACUAACUACAAUAUAUAAAUAUAAACUAAUUGAAUACAUCUACCUCUACAUUAUCUAACAGAACAACAAAUUACAUGCAUGUCACAUAGCUGAGAUACUAUUUUACACAACCAUACAUAUUAACUACAUAUUGUAAUAGAGAUUUUUAUCAUUAAUUGUAAACUAUAGAGAUUAAUUUAAGUCGUACACUUUUAACGCCUAUGCCUGGCUCGGAU